CCUUUUGAUUUAAAAAGUAUUCAAUUUUAGUGAAAAUAAAAGUAAAAUUUUUAAGCGUGAAAAUGAUAUAUUUAUUUAAAAAGUGUUUUUUCACGAUUUAGUGUGUACAUUUAAAAGUUGUAAAUUUCAACACAAAAAUUGUACAAGUGUCAGACCAUUGGAAAAAAAUGUUUUGUUUUGUAAGUGUCAGAGUCCAGAGUUCGUGUUUGUUUUUGUCUGAGAUCAGGUUUUUGAUCUCAGAUUUUUGUUUGCCAGCGCUGCAGCUGUAACGCGAAGUCUGGAAAGGAUCACGUCUGGUCCAACAUCAGUCGAUGCGAAAUGAUUCUCGGGAUGGAUCUCGGUGUGGAAUAUUUCCCCCACUGCCUCUAGCAGAAUAUUGUCGCAACAAAUUGUUUGCCCUUGCUAGAUCCGGCCUGUCAUGGAUUUCUUGUUUGGUCUUGCCUACAACUCACCAUUGUCAUUCCACCGUUUUUAAACAUGGGUCUUCUUGCUGCCAUCGCGGACAGAGAUCCUGUACCCGUUCGCCCAUUAACGGAUUAGAAAUGGCUCACGCAUCCUCGCACGCAUAUGUAUUCGAAAUUAUCAUCAAAUUAGAGGGCAUCAGAAUCAUCGCAUCGGUUGGAAUGGUUCGACAAGGCUAGCUCUUCCCUAAAUAAGGCUAUAACAAUAAUU